CAGCAGCCGCGGGAAUACAGAGGGUGCGAGCGUUAAUCGGAUUUACUGGGCGUAAAGCGUGCGUAGGCGGCUUCUUAAGUCGGAUGUGAAAUCCCUGAGCUUAACUUAGGAAUUGCAUUCGAUUCUGGGAAGCUAGAGUAUGGGAGAGGAUGGUAGAAUUCCAGGUGUAGCGGUGAAAUGCGUAGAGAUCUGGAGGAAUACCGAUGGCGAAGGCAGCCAUCUGGCCUAAUACUGACGCUGAGGUACGAAAGCAUGGGGAGCAAACAGGAUUAGAUACCCGCGUAGUCCCUGUCUCUUAUAC
rnacentral:rRNA from 1 species